UACGUAGGGUGCGAGCGUUGUCCGGAAUUAUUGGGCGUAAAGGGCGCGUAGGCGGCCAUUCAAGUGACGGGUGAAAGCCCUCGGCUUAACCGAGGAACUGCCUGUCAGACUGGAUGGCUCGAGACCGGGAGAGGUGAGUGGAAUUCCCAGUGUAGCGGUGAAAUGCGUAGAUAUUGGGAGGAACACCAGUGGCGAAGGCGGCUCACUGGACCGGAACUGACGCUGAGGCGCGAAAGCGUGGGGAGCAAACAGG
rnacentral:rRNA from 1 species